rnacentral:antisense_RNA from 1 species
UGGUUGAAGACAGUUCCACUCCAGCCAGAGCCACCAACUCAGGGCUGGAAAACACAAAAAAGCCCGAUUACCCGUCGGGUUUUUUU